AGAGGAACAAGACUCGGGCGGAGCUAACUCCGUGUGCAAAGCAGGACAUGGAGGAACGCGGGUCUCCCGACGGGGACCCCGCGCAGAGCCUGGAGCAGGGGCCAGAGGGGCCAGAAACGCCCAUCCAGGUGGUACUCAGAGUGCGUCCCAUGAGCGCGGCAGAGCUGCGUCGAGGGGAACAGAGCGCGCUGCACUGCUCGGGGACCCGGACUCUGCAAGUGAGGAAUCCCACC